AUAUCAAUAAGCGGAGGAAAAGAAACCAACAGGGAUUGCCCCAGUAACGGCGAGUGAAGCGGCAGCAGCUCAAAUUUGAAAUCCGGCCGCCCCGCGGCCCGAGUUGUAAUUUGCAGAGGACGCUUUGGGCGAGGUGCCUUCCGAGUUCCCUGGAACGGGACGCCGCAGAGGGUGAGAGCCCCGUACGGUCGGCGUCCGAGCCCGUGUAAAGCUCCCUCGACGAGUCGAGUAGUUUGGGAAUGCUGCUCCAAAUGGGAGGUAAACCCCUUCUAAAGCUAAAUACCGGCCAGAGACCGAUAGCGCACAAGUAGAGUGAUCGAAAGAUGAAAAGCACUUUGAAAAGAGAGUUAAAAAGCACGUGAAAUUGUUGAAAGGGAAGCGCUUGUGGCCAGACUUGCGCCCGGCAGCUCAGCCGUCCUUCUGGGCGGUGCACUCUGCCGGGCACGGGCCAGCAUCGGUUCCCGGUCGGGGAGAAAGGCGGCGGGAACGUGGCUCCUCGGAGUGUUAUAGCCCGCCGCCAUGCCCUUCCGGGGACCGAGGUUCGCGCACCCGCAAGGAUGCUGGCGUAAUGGCCACCAGCGACCCGUCUU
rnacentral:rRNA from 1 species